rnacentral:rRNA from 1 species
CCUACGGGUUGCAGCAGUGGGGAAUAUUGCACAAUGGAGGAAACUCUGAUGCAGCGACGCCGCGUGAGCGAAGAAGGCUUUCGAGUCGUAAAGCUCUGUCCUAAGAGAAGAAGAAGUGACGGUAUCUUAGGAGGAAGCCCCGGCUAACUACGUGCCAGCAGCCGCGGUAAUACGUAGGGGGCUAGCGUUGUCCGGAAUUACUGGGCGUAAAGGGUGAGUAGGUGGUCAUUAAAGUCAGAUGUAAAAGGCAAUGGCUCAACCAUUGUAAGCAUAUGAAACUUAAUGACUUGAGUGCAGGAGA